rnacentral:rRNA from 1 species
UCAGGACGAACGCUGGCGGCGUGCCUAAUACAUGCAAGUCGAACGGUCUUUCUAUGGAAGCUUGCUUCCACUGAGAAGAUAGUGGCGGACGGGUGAGUAACACGUGGGGUAACCUGCCCAUAAGAGGGGGGAUAACAUCCGGAAACGGGUGCUAAUACCGCAUAGUUUUCUUGAUCGCAUGAUUGAGAAAGGAAAGACGGCCUUUGUGCUGUCGCUUAUGGAUGGACCCGCGGCGUAUUAGUUAGUUGGUGAGGUAACGGCUCACCAAGACGAUGAUACGUAGCCGACCUGAGAGGGUGAUCGGCCACAUUGGGACUGAGACACGGCCCAAACUCCUACGGGAGGCAGCAGUAGGGAAUCUUCCGCAAUGGACGAAAGUCUGACGGAGCAACGCCGCGUGAGUGAAAGAAGGUUUUCGGAUCGUAAAACUCUGUUGUCAGAGAAGAACAAGUCGGAGAGUAACUGCUCCGGCCUUGACGGUAUCUGACCAGAAAGCCACGGCUAACUACGUGCCAGCCGCCGC